rfam:Glossina morsitans morsitans, isolate Yale, WGS project CCAG01000000 data, contig: ctg10023282
AUGGCUUCAGCCAUGAGUCACGCUUCGUUGGUUUGGCAAGUAAGCAGUGAAGGUUUGGCAAGGUGAAGCGGACGGACCGGUAUUGCCUUGUUUUUCAAAUACCUUUUUUUGGUACGACUUUCUUCUUCUUCUUGUUCCUCUAUUCAGCAAGUCAACAACCGAAAAUUCGCUGAGAUGUGUAAAAAAUGACUUCCUUCUAUCAACUAUGGUAAAGUGAAGCACCACAGAAACUAUAA